CGGUGGGGCAUCCUGUAAGUUUCCAAAUACAGGGCCCCCUGGUGGAGAUGAAGGGCAUUGUCUGCUUGCUCUUGUUUAAGCCUUGUUCUUCUUAAGUUGGAAUCAGCAUUGUCAGGACUUCAUUCCAUGUGAUCGCUGUGAAGCAGAUCCA